rnacentral:rRNA from 1 species
CCUACGGGGGGCAGCAGUGGGGGAUAUUGGACAAUGGGGGGAACCCUGAUCCAGCGACGCCGCGUGAGUGAAGAAGUAUUUCGGUAUGUAAAGCUCUGUCAGCAGGGAAGAAAGCAAUGACGGUACCUGACCAAGAAGCCCCGGCUAACUACGUGCCAGCAGCCGCGGUAAUACGUAGGGGGCAAGCGUUAUCCGGAUUUACUGGGUGUAAAGGGAGCGUAGACGGCUGUGCAAGUCUGAAGUGAAAGCCCGUGGCUCAACCGCGGAACUGCAUUGGAAACUGUUUAUCUAGAGUGUCGGAGAGG